rnacentral:rRNA from 1 species
UACGAGGGGGGCAAAUGUUGUUCGGAAUCACUGGGCGUAAAGGGAGCGUAGGCGGGUUCUUAAGUUAGGUGUUUAAUCCCGGGGCCCAACCCCGGACCGGCACUUAAAACUGGGAAUCUUGAAUAGUGGAGAGGUCAGUGGAAUUGGGGGUGUAGCGGUGGAAUGCGUAGAGAUCCCCAAGAACACCAGUUGCGAAGGCGGCUGACUGGACACAUAUUGACGCUGAGGCUCGAAAGCAUGGGGAGCAAACAGG